CUAUUACUAAUGUAGAGCAGUGUUGUAUUUAGUAACGGCAAGUUACAAAAUUUAUUCAAGUACGCAUGUAGAUUUCCAAGAGGAAGGUAAAGAUCACAGGGUGGAAUGGCUCUGUGGCGGGCUGGCACAGACGAAUCAACAGUAAAGUUGGCGACCAGCACCUUGGCAUAUACAGACCUAUCGCUGGGUCAACUUUUGACCAGAUGUAGCCAAGUCCAUGGACCCAUCAGCCGCUGACUUUAUAUCUAAGAACUGUUCCCUUGUUGGUAUCAUGCUAGAAUCAUUGGAAGUUUAUUGUCUGUGUCGUUAUUCUAUUUAAUACCCAUUAUGUAACUUCAGAUUACACUAAAA